AGAGCGGUACUACAUCCGGUUCAAUGAGCAAGUGUUUCCGCUGUCCACAAGCCCUUUUCUCAGUGAGUAAUUUUAACAUUUUAAACUGACUUGGCAGUUUAUCUCUGAAUGUAUUGAUGUCGACGUUUGGGGAACGUUAGUACGACACGUUGCUUCUCUAAUUUUGUAGUUGUGACUCACUAAGUCACUGGAAGUUAUCGUUAAAAACAACGUCAGCAAAUGGCAGUGAGCAAGCACGCCGCCGACAGGUAGACCUCAGCUGUAAUCAAAAAGCAAUCGAGAACCGCGAUUGACUUGAAUACUAUUCUGUAUAUUUUCCACACCAAAACUGCUAUGAGCAGUGGGAGUGUGAUGGCUUCACAUCGGAGUGGGGGGCAGAUUUUUUCAAAACUAUUCACACAAAUGCACCCGUGACUUUGUUCACUUGUUUUUCGAAAGGAGGUUGCUCAUUGUACUUUAGGUGUGGGAGAGAGCAGUGAGUAGAUCGCUCAAACAGUACAUGUAUUGCGAGUGCCGGCACGUUUGGAAAUGGACGGAUUUAAAGUUAGUCAGAUUACUGGGCCGAAGGCGCAGCCGCCAGACUCGGAAGACAUGCGGAAGGGACACCAACCUGCAUUUGGACACGUGUGAGCACUGAGCUGUGUGGUGUGCUUGAAGAGCUGAUGUCUGAUGACACGUUGCACCACAAGGUGGA